AGUACUGAACUGAACCAUGCAUUAAUAACCAAAAAAAAACAUCCGUCAUCUCUAAUGAGAUACAUGCAUACAGGAUUAAUCGAUGAUGUCCUUUUGCACUUGCUUCUGCGAGUCCUAUAUUCAGACACAUUCGACCUCUAGACGAUCUCAAAUGACUCUGGAUCUUAAGGACGGGCAUGUUUUGUUUGGUCCAACGAGAUAGCCUCAUCGUCUCAUCUCACCUCACGCAAUGUUUUUCCUCUUCCUUUUGUUUUGUUCCAUUAAUUCAUUGUUGUUGGAGAAUGGAGACGGCGAGACGACGUGGUCACCUAUGCUGACAUGCAUGCAUGUGCGGCUCCCGUGCUCAUGCCUGAGCCCAACAACGCGGCAGCCAUAGCUAGCAAGCACGCACACGCCGGCGGGCCGGGGCAGCACCUCGUCGUCUGCCUUUCAACUCGUCAUCCUCGUCGCAGCACUACCUCCUGCCUCCCGCAAACACACAGGGAUCUGCGGCGAUGCAUGCCAGCAGCUCCAAUCGACGACGAUCGUCGUCGUCGUCGCCUUCCAUUCCAACCACCGAAGCGACACUAUAGAGUGCACUUUUCGUGGUGCGCCAUCGUCAGCCUCCAACGCGUCUAGCGAUCGCAGAAAAUGGAGGGUUCAGAUUUCAGAACAGCAGAAACCACAUGACCUGUGCAUGCGUCUAGAUCUGAAUGAUGCGUCCUCCAUUGCCGACCGACCCUCGGAGGCUCGGAGCUCUUCAUCGCACAGACACAGCCAGGUCUCGGUCCUCACGCGGCAAUGUACGUAAUGAUUUCCCCUUGAAACAUUUGAUGCAAGAAAUAUAUGCGUCCCCUCUGUCAAUCAAGAGAAUGUGCUACUUUCCCAUCUCUAAAAAAUAAAAUAAAAAAUCUGUUGGCAGCGCCUAUAAAUACAGACGCUUGCAUGUCGUAACAUCCAGAGCCCGACUCGUACCGCAUCACCCUACCUCCGAUACUGGGAAGAAACUUGCUCGGUCGGAGUCGGAGCUGCCAACAAUGUCGCCGCUGAGGCUGUCAGUCCUCCUUGUGCUCCUGUCCAGCCUCUUGGCCCCUUCCACUGCCCUGCGCAGCUCGACGCUGCUCCUGGCGCGUUCUCCUCAGUCCGUGUCGCUCAGUGCCGUUCCCGGGACACCGGUCACCGCAUGGGCGGCCACCCUCGCCGCCCAGACGGCGUCCGACGCGGCGCGCGCAGCCACGCUCGCAACGGGACCCCGGGACCCGCCGCCGGCCAGUGCCGUGGACGCCGCCAAGAAAGGGCCGCGCCGGUCCUUCGUGCCGAUCGCUCCGGGCCGGCAGCUUCUCAGCAUCCCCAGCUACGUGGCCCGCGCGCGCCUCGGCACGCCGGCGCAGGCGCUCCUCGUGGCCAUCGACCCCAGCAACGACGCCGCGUGGGUGCCGUGCGCCGCCUGCGCGGGCUGCGCCCGGGCGCCGUCGUUCGACCCGACGCGGUCGUCCACGUACCGCCCCGUGCGCUGCGGGGCGCCGCAGUGCUCGCAGGCUCCCGCCCCGUCGUGCCCAGGGGGCCUGGGCUCGUCGUGCGCGUUCAACCUGUCGUACGCGGCGUCCACGUUCCAGGCCCUGCUCGGGCAGGAUGCGCUGGCGCUCCACGACGACGUGGACGCCGUCGCGGCCUACACGUUUGGGUGCCUCCACGUCGUCACGGGUGGCUCCGUGCCGCCGCAGGGGCUCGUCGGCUUCGGCCGCGGGCCGCUCUCGUUUCCGUCGCAAACCAAGGACGUGUACGGCUCCGUCUUCUCCUACUGCCUGCCGAGCUACAAGUCUUCCAACUUCUCCGGCACGCUCAGGCUCGGCCCCGCCGGGCAGCCGAAGAGGAUCAAGACGACGCCGCUGCUAUCCAACCCACACCGUCCUUCCCUCUACUACGUCAACAUGGUCGGGAUCCGCGUCGGCGGCAGGCCCGUGCCAGUACCGGCGUCGGCCCUCGCGUUCGACCCGACCAGCGGCCGCGGCACCAUCGUCGACGCCGGGACGAUGUUCACGCGGCUGUCCGCGCCCGUGUACGCCGCCGUGCGUGACGUGUUCCGGAGCAGGGUGCGAGCGCCGGUGGCAGGCCCGCUCGGUGGCUUCGACACGUGCUACAACGUGACCAUCUCCGUGCCGACCGUCACCUUCUCGUUCGAUGGGCGGGUGUCGGUGACGCUGCCGGAGGAGAACGUGGUCAUCCGAAGCUCCUCGGGCGGCAUCGCGUGCCUGGCCAUGGCUGCGGGACCACCAGACGGUGUCGACGCUGCGCUCAACGUGCUGGCCAGCAUGCAGCAGCAGAACCACCGCGUGUUGUUCGACGUCGCCAAUGGCCGCGUCGGUUUCUCGCGCGAGCUCUGUACGGCCUGAAAUCAGUGGAGCCAGGCUAUGGAUUGGAUGGAGUAUUGUGUGUACUACUCCAGUAUAAAAGCAUGUUUGGUUCACUACCUUAGUUGUCACACUUUGUCCAACUUUUCUGUCUAAGGUUAGUUAUUCAAUUCGAACGACUAACCUUAGGCAAAGUGUGACACAUUUAGCCACAAACCAAACAGGCCCUAAGUGUUUCAGAUUCCUGUGGCGCACUAGCGCCGUGAGUUCAAUGUCUCGUUCGUUGCUGUCAGUGCUUGGAAAGUGGAUUUACUGAGUUGUUGGGUUCUGCUGACUACAAUUUUGUGUCACACCGGUUGUUUAAAUAUUAAUUAGAUUAAUUAAAAAUAAUUACAUAGCUAAAAACUAAACAACGAGAGUAAGAGACAAUUUUUAAAAGCCUAACUAAUAUAUGAUUAAUACAUUUUUAAUGUAGCAUCACAUUGACUAAUCAUGGAAUAAUUAAACUUAAUAGAUUCGUCUUCGUCUAUAUUCGAGAAAAAACAUUUCUAUUCUAGGAGUUUCGAUAACAAUACACUACAAAGAUACUAACUAAAUCUAUAUAGUCUAAUAAAUAUAAUCCUCACUGGAAGUUAUAUCUCUUUAUACAAGGUGUCCAUAUCAUCCCCCCCCCACUAAAUGCCUCACCAACUUGCAUUCCUUUCACCAAGCUAUCCAUAAUUAUGUAUACCAUCUUUAUUAUGUACAAUAUUAAUUUGAAAUACAGCUUGUAAUAAAAGUAUAGUGCACUGUAAUAUAAUGUACAUAGUACUUAGGGCACUCCUAGUUUCAAUGUUUAUUAAUUUUCAUAACAAUUAAGACAAGCAAAAUGAUGAUGUAGCAUUAUAAUUAGGGAAGAAAAGAAGGAAAUCGUCUCUUGAAUAAGAGAUUAUAUCAACACAAAACAAAGAUAUAAAUAAAUGUGACGGGUCGAUAAUAUUAGAGAGACCAAAUGUAAUUGGAUAAUUUUUUUUAAAUAUGGUUUUUCUAUGUAGUACUUAGAUAUAUUUGUGGCUAGGGCUGUUCUUGUAUAACAGCCUAGCCAAUAAGAGUUUGGAUUCAUCUGGGAAAUAGUUUGUCGUCUAAUUUUAUCAUCUUUGUCGUCUAAUUUUAUCAUCUUUGACUCCAAACAGGCUGGUUAAUAAGUUAGAUAAUUGUUACCCGGAGGUCUGAUAAAUUAUUUGCCCAUUAACCAUUUGACCUUACUAAUAGGUGCUAAUAGGUCAUGAGAAGAGAAAAAUGACAUCUAUAAACCAAGACUCUAAAUAUACCUUAGCCAAUUGUUGGUAGCUAAUUAUUUGCCGGCAAAUUGUUAGCCAGUGACAAAAAAAUAUUUAGAAGGAUCCAACAUGGCCUUGAUUUUAUGAAACAAUACAUUACUUUAAUUGACAAAUCAGUGGAGACUGUCCAAGACUAGAAUAUUCAUCAGUGCGACUUUAGUGUAAAAGUCUGAAUACCUUUUGGGCAUAGAGAUGGCAUGUUUAGUGUAAAAGUCUGAAUAUCGGUCAGCAGCUCGGUUAAAUUCAUGGGCCUUCGGACGUUCAUGGCCUAAGUAGACUUCUAUCUGGGCCUAGGCCUGGGACACUACCGCUGCCUUGGUUUUGGUUCGGAUGAUUCUGCAGACCAGGCCUGGCUUAAACCCAUGGGCUUUAUGGAAAGAGAAUAAGAAUAAAAUUUAUGUUUCUAUUAAUUAUCAGUAUCAAAAUAAAAUCCGGUACCGAGAGUUUUUAGGCAAGGAGUAGAUCAGCCUGCACACAAGUCUACCGAUAGUUGCGUUUCCAGCAACCCUCUAAAAAAUUUGAAUUAUCUAUAUCUUUUCCAUCUCCAACAACGUCAUCUAAAUUUAAUCCUCUAUAUCUUAUCUCAUAUAUUUUACCCACGAUAUUAAUAGAAAAUAUCAGAAAUUGAUUCUUGUUUGGACGUAACCCUAUCCCCAAAUUCCCCAAACCAGUGUAUGUAUUCUUCUCCUAGUUUGUUCUCCAAGUCCCAACUACAGCUUGCUGCUCCAAAAUCUGUUGCAUCGAGCUUCUUCCCCCGGCAGCAAUGGCGUCCCUUUGCGGACUCCACACUCGGCGAGGCCAGGACGUUCAUGGAGGCCUACCCAAGCUUCAUGACCAUGUCGGUGCUGCCUCCAACGUGCGGAUGCAGAUGCUGCGGUCAGGUGCGCGCGACACAGCGGGGAAGCUCUGCCCUGACGGCCAUGGCGCGAUGGUUCUCCUGCUGCCUCGAGUGUGCGGUUGGGCUCCCUCUAUAUUUUAGAGGACAUUUUACCGUUUGUUGUUAGAGGCAUAGAGAACACUAACAGCCGCUAAAUUUACCAUAGCGGAUGCUUUAGCGUCCCUUGCUGCAGACAACAUAAAGUUGUGGCCUUGCACUGAGAGCAAAUAUAAUAAGGUAAUAUCGGCAAACUAUAAAAGAUGUCAGAUCCGUUUUUUGACGAUACGGAAGAAAAAUAAUAAAAGACAGAAAUAAAGUGAGAUACUCAUCACUAAUAGCCAUAGACUCCAAGACACUUUGUGAGAGUAGGAGAUAGAGCAAUUAUUAAAUGUAUAGCUUGUAUAUCAAGAAAGGCUGUUAUAUGGUAGCUUUUAGUUGGCUAUAUGUGGUGUGGUAAUAUCAUAAAGGGACCAUAUCUUGUGUACAAGCCGCACCCUCGGUGAAUAAAUGCACAAAUCCGAUUUGGACCCUCAAUCCAACAAUCAACGAUUAUUAGCGUAGUUUGUUUCCUUGCAAAUAUGCAGAUGGGCACGAGGAGAGAAGCGUGGAUGAUUUUUUUUUGUUGCAAAAAACACAUCAGUCAAUGAUUGUUGGAUGAAAGGUCUGGAUUUGAUUUGCGCAUUUGUGCACUAUGGUGCCUUGUGUAUAGGACACGGUGCUUAUCAUAAAACCUAUUAAACUUGCUCUCAGGCAACUGCAGGUCUCAGGUUAUGUACAAACUAGAUAUUAUGUUGCGAUUCUCUAAGCAGUAGAUACACAUAAGAAACGCAUUCUUACAAUCCAGUAUAUCUAAGCCUCAUAUCUUAUUAAGUAGAAACCCUUAAGAUACCUUUCAUUUAUAUGGUUUGUAUGAGUGUAAUUGUAUUUUAGAUAUGAAGAACCGUGCUAGAGACGUUCAUUCACCAAAAUAGGAUCUCUUGGCAUUAGACGCCUCUUAAGAUACAAAUCAUGUGGGUUGUACAUGCCCUCUCGGAGGUUCUAAGGAGGAGUUAAGGGGUGUUUGGUUUGAGGAAUCACUUCAUCCAAAAUGUGGUGAUGUAUCAUAGGUCCAUUCCUCAAAUUUGGUGGGAUGACCUCAUUCCUCAUAUUAGUACUAACUAAAUAACUAUAAGGAAUGAGGUGAUGACGGAUCAACUCAAUCCAUUCCACAAACCAAACAAAAAAGUGAGGAGUGAGAAGACGAUGGACUAGAUCAUUCCUCAAACCAAACAUCUUAUAAAAGACCGGGGUAGGCAAUCCUAAUUAUCUUAAGAUGAAAGGAUAUUGCGGGUUGUUUCAGACAUGGUUCUAACAUAUGAGCCCUUGAAGUCGGCCACUCAGCGAUAGUUUGAUAAAAGAGUUUUAUACAACAUAUUACACUCCCUCUGUACGCAUGAGUUGGUCUUUUUAGUUUUAUCCUAAAUCAAACUAAUUAAACUUUGACCAACAACAUGUAUAAGAAUAUAUUAUGUUGAACUAAAUCAUUACAUAUUACGGUAGUUCAAGUUAUGAUAAGUCUAUUAAUUUUAAUUUUAUGUUGUACAAUCUUAUAAAAUGUUUUAUAUACUCGGCCAUAGUUGAUAGUGAUUAAUUUAGUAUAAACCCGAAAAGACAAACUCACGUGGAGGAAGUAUUUCAGUUAUUCUAACACUAAAUCAGUAAUUGGAUGGGAAGCGGGAGUAGCUCAAGUUUAAAAAAAAAUAGCCAGCUUCGUCGAUACGGUGGAUUAAUAAAGACAGGAAAACUGCUGUCCGGAGGGAGGGCAAUAUAGAGCGGUACCGGGCGUCAGUGGGUAGCAUAGCAGCAGGGUCCCGGGCGGCGCUGAGACGACGCCGGCGGUCACGUGACGGGGGACAGGCACUGAGGCAGGUUAUCGUGGCGCAGGAACGCCGUCCGUACCGUACGGUGGGGCGGUGAGGGGAGGGGGGACUCGCGAGGCCGCGCAGCACGGAGGAGCCGGACGGCCGAGCGCAGAAGCAGCGGACAGGACAGGCCUGC
rnacentral:lncRNA from 1 species